GUGUUCUAAAACAUCCUAUUGAUCUUGUCUAAAGUGGUUAAUAAGAGAUUUGUCGGAUAAAAAUUAUGAACACUAGAAACCAAAACUAAAAGUCUACUAAAAAUAAUAAACUUGGUGGUUAAUGAAUGAAUGGGAACGGAUCGUCAUCUAACCACGCUAGGUCAUGUUCAUGGAACAUGAACUAGCACUAUGUUUAGUGUAAAAAUAACUAGAUGACGAACCCUUUCACUCACAAACAUGAACUUGUGUAAAAACGAUUUUUCUUAUGAAAUGGAGUUCUAAACUAGUAGAUCUACGGAUCUACAAGUGGUAUUUUUGAAGAACCAAGAGUAUGAUGAAAUCAUGUUUAAAAAGCCAGAUCUUUCUCAAAAUAAAGACAUUUUUGAGAACCAAAAAGUAUGUAGACACUUGUGUAACGAAAGGAUUUAACAAAGAAAUAUUUUCGUAAAUACCGACUAGAAGUUGUAAAACUUCAUAUUCUUUAAAAAUAAAGUUUCGAGAUAAUGAUUUUAUUUUUUUUAAAGAUGGAAAGACUUACCAAAUGUGCUAGUAAGUUACUACACAUUUUUACACAACUUGCAAGUUCAUGUGAUUGCGAUAUAUGUUUAUGUUGGACUAGUUUGAUGAUGAUUGGGAAAUUGAUUGGUUGAAUUUUUAAAAGAAAAUGAUACGCUAGUAAGCGUGGCCACCUCCAGUUACAGAGGAAACUCUGGCGAAAUUUUUUUUCCAGAAAUUAACACUUAGAAUAUUUUUUUUGUGACAAGUGUUAUGAAUAUAUUUUUGGCUUGUUUUCCAAACAAACUUCGCCAUGAUUUUUUUUUUACAAAAUUUCCAAUUACCGGAGGAACAUUUUCAUAAAUAAAACUUGUUAAAUAUAUAUUUAGAAUAUAUAUAUUUAUCGCUUGUAUGAUUAUGUGAUUAUUUUGUGAACUAGAUAUAUAUUAUUUUUAGAGUAAAAAUAAUAUGAAUUGGAGAUACUCGUAACGAGUAAAAAUACAAAAAAAAAAUACACAUACAACAUACAAGAUACAUAAUUCGGGUGCAAAGUGCAAAACACAAAAGACUUAUAUUUAUUUGUGAGAAAAUAAUAUAAGUAAGACAUUUAGUUAAAAAUAUAAAAUAUUUUUUUUACACAAGAAAAUAUACACAAAAGAGAGUGACUGUACUUGUGCGACGCAAGUCUAGUGACUAACGUUAAGAAAACGCGUAUAGGUUACGACGUUAAUUAAGCAAACCCGGUGAAGUUUACGACGCACAGGAACGCAAAGUUGUGAGUUCAUGCUCCCCCUUUUCUCUUAACUGUUUUCAGUUUUAUAACUUCGGGGGUGAAAUACAUGUUACAGAUAUUUUUUAUGUUUAACAAAUGGUAUGAUAAUAAAAAGCACACUUGGUGAGAACGAGUACCAAGUGUGUAGCGAUAUAAGAAUACAAGAAGCGCACUUGGUGAGAACGAGUACCAAGUGUGUUGU
rnacentral:lncRNA from 1 species